rnacentral:rRNA from 1 species
GAUGAACGCUGGCGGCGUGCUUAACACAUGCAAGUCGAACGAAGCAUUUGCGACAGAUUUUUUCGGAAUGAAGUUGCUUAUGACUGAGUGGCGGACGGGUGAGUAACGCGUGGGUAACUUGCCUUGUACUGGGGGAUAGCAGCUGGAAACGGCUGGUAAUACCGCAUAAGCGCACAAUGUUGCAUGACAUGGUGUGAAAAACUCCGGUGGUAUAAGAUGGACCCGCGUCUGAUUAGCUAGUUGGUGAGAUAACAGCCCACCAAGGCGACGAUCAGUAGCCGACCUGAGAGGGUGACCGGCCACAUUGGGACUGAGACACGGCCCAGACUCCUACGGGAGGCAGCAGUGGGGAAUAUUGCACAAUGGAGGAAACUCUGAUGCAGCGACGCCGCGUGAGUGAAGAAGUAAUUCGUUAUGUAAAGCUCUAUCAGCAGGGAAGAUAGUGACGGUACCUGACUAAGAAGCUCCGGCUAAAUACGUG